CAUUCCUGUGCAUUCAGGCAGGAGCGAACUUCUCUACGGCAUAAAGCUGUGAAAAUGGCUGGGCCUAAUGGGGCGACGUGAGAUAAGAUCCCCUUAGACCUCUCCUAUCCUCGGAUUGCAGCCUCUGGGGUGCUGGUGCAUGCUAGACUCUCCGCUCACCCACACUCGGAUGAACUAGACAGACGCAAGAUUAUUCCAAGAUGACUGAGAAGUUCACUCUGAAGUACAAAAGGUUGGAUGGACUCAUGCCGCCAAUAUUCCACAGGAAUGAAGAGGAAUAUUUGCCAAGGUGGCUUUCAGAUGCCCAUCGUGGCAGAACAAGUAAUGACAACAAAAGCCUGGAGCUACAAGGCGCCAUCACAUAGAACCUGAGAAUGAAGCAAUAACUGCAGAAAGGGGAACCAAUAGACGGAGAGAAUCUGAGUCCUGAGGUCAUUGGCUGAGACGCUGAUCAAGCUGAACCUGAAGCCGGUGCUUCCCCUGGACUUUCAGGUACAUGAGCCAAGAAUUUCCCUUUAGUCUGAAGCCAGUUUGACUUGGGAUUUUUUCCAUCUCUUGCAGUGGGAAGGAUACUAAGUGACUCCAAAAAUUAUUGACUAGACGCUAAGGACUAAAGUGGAAACCUUUAUUAAUUAGAUAUGCAGAUAAAAAGGCCCAUCUUCAGAUCUGUUGUCAUUAGAGAAUUAUUUUAUACAUGGCCACAGAGCCAUUUUACAAAUGAGGAUUCAGCCUUGCCGAGGUAAACUGCUUAACCAGGAUACAUAGCAGAAUCUGAGUAAGUCCUUGGCUCUGUGUAACCCUGAAUUUGAUCCUUUCUUCCUCAAAUCAUCAUACCUUUUAUAAGAUAUUUAAUAUGUGAAAGAUCUUAUUCUAAGUAUUUUGCAAAUAAUAACUCACUUAAUCUUCACAACUAUCCUAUGGGUAGGUACUGUUUAUUAUUCCCAUUUUACAGAUGAGGAAACUGAGGUGUAAAGAGAUUAACUUGUCCAAGGUCACACAGCUUGUAAGUAACAGAGGCAAGACUUGGACACAGGCACACUGGCUGCAGAGGCCAUGCUCUUAAGCCGUGCACUGGACUGCCUCUAGUAAAUUUUUUUUUAUUUUGAGGAAGAUUAGCCCCGAGCUAACAUCUGCUGCCAAACCUCCUCUUUUUUUUGCUGAGGAAAACUGGCCUUGAGCUAACAUCCACGCCCAUGUUCCUCUACUUUAUAUGUGGGAUGCCUGCCACAGCAUGGCUUGACAAGCGGUGCGUAGGUCCACACCGGGAUCCAAAACAGCAGACCCUGUGCUGCCAAAGCGGAAUGUGCAAACUUAACUGCUGUGCCACUGGGCCAGCCCCAACCUCUAGUAAAUUAAAAUUAACCUACCAUCAGCCUUUGAUCAGAAUUCCAUUGGUCUUUCAUUCAGAGGCACUGCCCUUUUCUGAACUUUUAUUCAUUAUAAAAAUAAAAAGCAAACAAAAACUGCAAAUGUUUUCUAUAUUCUAUAAGCUCUUCAGUUAUGUAAGAAUUUUUAUCUAGCUAAUUUCAGAGUCAUAAACUUUUGAGCUUCUUACAGCUCUCGUUUGCCCUUCUCAAUACACAGUGCAAGUAAGGACUACUGGCAGCAAAAGUCUUAUUUUAUGCCUUCCUGUGAUGGAAAAACUAGGUGAGUGCUCUGCCGUGUUAAUUUUUAACUGAUAUUUAAUGAUAUAGUAAUUGAUAUUUAAUAUUAUAAUCUAGUAUGAAAUUUUACCUUUCAUAUCAGUCAACUAACAAAAAACAUGAAAGACCUGGAAUUUAACAGCCCACUUAUAGAAACAAAAUAUACACAUAUUAAAAGUAACAUAAAUCAGUGUUGUCUGAUUUCUUUUCUUUUCUUUUUUUUUUGGGUGAGGAAGAUUGGCCCUGAGCUAACAUCUGUGCCAACCCUCCUCUAUGUUUUAUGAGGGAUACUGCUACAGCAUGGCUUGACCAGGGGUGUAUAGGUCUGCACCUGGGAUCCGGAUCGUGGAUCCCAGGCCAAUGAGGCAGAGUGAGUGAACUCAACCACUAUGCCACCGGGCCGGCCCCUUCUCUGAUUUCUUGAAAUCACAAGACGUGUGAACUGCUUCAGAAGCUCUGAAAUGCGACUUGAAUGUAACCUCCUGUAUUCUUCUACAUUUUCACAUACAUUAUCUGAGUUGAUCCUUUCCUAAGCCGUGUGGUUGGGCAGGGAUUAUCAGGUGAAUAGACACUGUCGUUUUUAAGGCAGUACCAUGGAAAGCCUUCAUUUCUAUGUGGGAGAGUGACACGGUCUUUUAGAAAGUCAGCUGGCGGAUGCAUCUAGGAUGGUUGUGGGGGGGAUUGUAGACAGGGAGAGCCGUUUAGGAGGCUGCUCUUACAAAUACCUUAAAUAUAUUUCCUCUAUAAAUAUAGGGAGUCUGUACCACCUGGACUGAAGACUGACUUGGAUCUCGGGGCCAACAGAACUUUGUUCCAAGUUCCAAGGCCAUCGUUGGAAUCAGUGGGUCAUUAACAGCGCACUAGAGGGCACUGAGCUAAAGGUGGUGGCAGAUGCAUGGCAUGUGCGUGCUGGAGGGUAGGAGUGUGGGUGGAGGAACUGAUGGUGGAACCUGCACGAAUUAUUCUGGGCAAGUCUGCUCAGUCUUCAAAUGAUGGAGGUGGGUCACAGCCGGUCUGCUCGUGAUCCCUCAUGGCAGAAGGUGGCCUGGUACCCACAGGAGGCUAGGGGACAGAGCUCAGCAGCCCCUUCCAGUUUUAUUUUUUGAAUUCUUGUGGAAUUUGCAUUUCACACCCUAACAAAGGGUGUGCCUCCUUGGGGAUUCAUGAAAACUUGACAAGAAAUCAGCAUUGUCCCCAUCAAACCUAGGCCCCACUUUUCCAAGCUCUCAUUUCCAGGUUUCCUCUUCCGUGGCUUUGCGUGGUUUCAUAUUUAUCUCGUAAGGAAUCAGUCAGUGUGGCCACUAACUCCCUUCAAACUCAGUACAAACCAGUUCCUCUCCUGCACAGGUCCCUGCACAUAUGGAAGCGCACAGGGGCACGGUUUGGGAUUAUUGGGAGAAUGCAUGAGUCAAUGGCUACGGAAAAUGCUGCACACCUACUCUGUGAAGAGGGAAGCGCCAAGAACAACUGCCACUUUCAUUUGGGGUCAGGAUUCUUGAUUCCUGCUAUCUGUUGACGUCUAUAAUCUUGGUGUUAUGCUUACAAGGGAGAGCCUCAAGCGGUAUUAAGUAUAUUAUUUUAAGAAUGAUGUGGCUUCUGGCAUCAUAUUUUGAAAAUCAAAGAUUGUAAUUUUAGGGAUAAUGGAAUACUCAAAAGGGAGUAUUCUGUAAAGCUGAGGGUGUAUGGUCAGCAGAGAGAUAUUCUUUACAAACAGUGGACUACGAGUUAGGAGAUGGCCUCAAGUCCCUCCCCCGUCAGUGAUCUUGAGCCAUUGUGGCAACACAUUCUGGGCCUCGUCCCCCCCCCAUCUGUAAAAUGGGGGUGUUUGACUCAUUGUUUCUUAACUGGGGUGAAUUCUGGAGUCACCUGGGAAGAUCCCCAAAGGCAGAAUUCUGGUUUUGUUUCUUGCUGUGUUUCUAAGGCAUAGAAAAGUACUUGGCACAGGGUAAAUACUCAAUAAAUAUUUUUUUAAUGAAGAAAUAAAACUUUUAAAAAAUUCACAGAGCAGGAUCCAGUCCAGAAAGCUCACAUCGUAUGGGCUAGAAACUGUACAUACAUUUUGUAAAAGCCCUCUGGAUCAUUUUGCCAAGCACUCUGGGCUUAAGAACCACUAAACCCAACAAUCCCCAAGGUUCCUUCCCUGAAGAAUUGUCAGAUUUAGCAAAGAAAAAUGUAAGACAUCCAGUUAAAUUUGAAUUUCAGAUAAACAAUGAAAAUGUUUUAGUCUAAAUAUGUACCAUGCACUAUUUGGUUGUCGCAAAACUUGUAGAAAGAUGACUAGGUAAGGCUUCUGCUUAGGCUGAUGGUUAGAGGCAGAGGGUGGCACCUUGAAACUGGCCCAGAUUUGGGAAUCAGACAGAUAAUCUUGGUCUGAGUCUCUGCCCUGAUUGUGUGAUCUGAACAAAUUGCUCAACUUCACUGGGCUUCGUAACUCGAGUGUCUAUCCUGUAGAGCUGCUGAAAGUAUUGGAGAUAUUACAGGAAUGAUGGUAGCAGGUAUCUGAUAACGUUUAGCUGUUUUUACUGUUGGUUUGAAGAAAGAAAGUCAGUAUCAAUGAGACCUUUGUUGACACACUGUCAACUAGCAAACUGGCAUUCUGAAAUGACCAAGAUUAUAGGUAAUAGUUCUGGGCAGACCUGGGCAAAGUUAGAGGGAACGCUGAUCUUCUUUAGAACAAUACCUCUAUGUGUGGGGGAACAAAACAUACUAAAAAUUAAUAGAUUAUCCAGAAUAAAUAAAGGAAGGAAGUUCUUUCGUUUCAUUCAUUAUAAAAUGUCAUUUGCUCAACUGACUUUUUCUAAUGUCAAAGGUAAACAUUUGUUCAGGUUUUACAGGGUCACUAUACAGAGGGAUAGACUAUUAUUUGGGCAGUGGAAGUACUUCAAUCCUAACCUUGUUUCCCUCUCUUCUAGGUUAAAGACACAGUCUGUUUCUAGAGCUUCUGUUGUUUCUAGAAAUUUCUAACGCAUUUCUUCUGUUUAAAAAAUACACAUGCAACAAAUAUGAAAUAUUCAUUAAAAGGAAACGGUUCUCUCUAGAAAAAUCUAUUUGGACAAAAAUCUUUAGAUAAUUUCAUUAUCAAAUGUGAAGAGCUACGGCUGGAAAAUAAAUUGACCAUUACAUUUUCAACUGAGCUACUCGGAUAUCAACUGCAUACUUUAAGCCCCCUGUUGUUAUUUCGUUGUCUAUCCACCACAUAUUUAUUGUUGAGCCUGUAUUAUAUACUGGAGACUGUUCUAAGUGCUUGGGAUCCUUAGUGAACAAAACAGACCCAAAUCCUUGCCUCUGUGGAGCUUGUCUUCUGGGAUAGAGAGAGAAACAGAAGCACCCUAGAUAAGUGAGUUAAGUAGGAUACAGAUGGCGCAAUCUGUUGGUGAUGGAAGGAGCCGUGCUGAUCUGGGGGAUGAGAAGAGGGGCGUCAAGCACAAAUGACCUAAGGCAGGAGCCUGCCUGGAGUGUUCCAAGAAUAGCAAGGAGGCCAAUGUGGCUGCAGUGGAGAGAGGACAGAGGGAGUAGAAGGAGAGAAGACCAAGUAACUAUUAUCCUAAUCAUGAUAAAGGACUCCACGAAUCUAACUUCCAGUUUUGAGUUUUAGUUUACUUACUCUGUGACUACAGGGAGAUCCUGAACUGCUUACCUGGAAUGGUGGUCCUUAACUUGUAAAACAUGGGUAGGUUAGAGAUUUACUUCACAAAACUAUGACUAGAGGGAAUCAGUAUAUAGCUUAGUGAUGAUGUAUGUGCUUUAAUGGAUGGAUCUGAGUUCACAGUCUGACUUCCUUACUUGCUAGAGGUGUGCCCUUGGGCAAGUUCCUUCAACUCUCUGUGCUUCAAGUUCCAUCUCUAUGAAAUAAGGCAACUAAAAUUACCCCCUUUCAAACUGUGAGGGUUAGAGGAGAGGGUCUGUGUAAAAUGCUUAGCACAGAGCUUGGCACAUAGAAAGUACUAAAUAAAUAUCAUCAUUAUUUCUUGAAAAGUAUAAUUAGGAGGAUUAGGUACUUUGAAAUAUCUAUUUAAUAUUUAAUAUCAAAACAUGUUUUCAGUAAAAGUGUCUUAUUAUUGUUAUUACUAGUGGUAGCGAGCCUCCAAGAUGAUCCCCAAUGAUCCCUGUCUCUGAGUAUUCACACCCUUGUAUAGUCCCCUCCCACAUUGUACCAGGAUUGGUCUAUGUGACCAUAGAAUAUGGCAGAAGUGAUGGUAUGUCACUUUUGAGAUUAAGUUAUAAAAGACACUGUGGCUACCAUCUUAGUCAUUCAUUCUCUCUCUCAAUCAUCACUUGUUCUGGGGGAAGCCAGCUGCCAUGUCAUGAGCAGCCCUAGGGAGAGGUAUCCCUUAUGGAGAAGUCCACGUGACAAGGAACUGAGGCUUUUUGCCAACACCAUGUGCGUUAGGGCCUCCUUGGAAGUGAACCCACUAGCCUUGGUCAAGUCUUCAGAUGAAAGCAGCCCUCACUGACGUCUCGACUGCCGCUUCAUGAGACCCUGAGGCAGAACUAUGCAGCUAAGCAGAUCCCAGAUUCCUGCCCCUCAGAAACUGUGAGAUGAUAAAUGUUUGUUGUCUCAAACUUCUAAGUUUUGGGGUAAUUUGUUUAUGCAGCAAUAAAUAACUAAUACAAUAGUUUACAU
ensembl:lncRNA